rnacentral:rRNA from 1 species
UAGGGAAUCUUCCACAAUGGACGCAAGUCUGAUGGAGCAACGCCGCGUGAGUGAAGAAGGUCUUCGGAUCGUAAAGCUCUGUUGUUGGUGAAGAAGGAUAGAGGCAGUAACUGGUCUUUAUUUGACGGUAAUCAACCAGAAAGUCACGGCUAACUGACGUGCCAGCAGCCGCGGUAAUACGUAGGUGGCAAGCGUUGUCCGGAUUUAUUGGGCGUAAAGCGAGCGCAGGCGGAAUGAUAAGUCUGAUGUGAAAGCCCACGGCUCAACCGUGGAACUGCAUCGGAAACUGUCAUUCUUGAGUGCAGAAGAGGANAGUGGAACUCCAUGUGUAGCGGUGGAAUGCGUAGAUAUAUGGAAGAACACCAGUGGCGAAGGCGGCUCUCUGGUCUGCAACUGACGCUGAGGCUCGAAAGCAUGGGUAGCAAACAGGAUUAGAUACCCUGGUAGUCCACGCCGUAAACGAUGAAUCACU